rnacentral:rRNA from 1 species
AAGAUGGCGACCGGCGCACGGUGAGUAACACGUAUCCAACCUGCCGAUAACUCUGGAAUAGCCUUUCGAAAGAAAGAUUAAUACCGGAUGGCAUACGAAUAUCGCAUGAUAUUUUUAUUAAAGAAUUUCGGUUAUCGAUGGGGAUGCGUUCCAUUAGUUUGUUGGCGGGGUAACGGCCCACCAAGACAACGAUGGAUAGGGGUUCUGAGAGGAAGGUCCCCCACAUUGGAACUGAGACACGGUCCAA